rnacentral:rRNA from 1 species
UACAGAGGUCUCAAGCGUUGUUCGGAUUCAUUGGGCGUAAAGGGUGCGUAGGUGGCGCCGUAAGUCGGGUGUGAAAUUUCGGAGCUUAACUCCGAAACUGCAUUCGAUACUGCGGUGCUUGAGGACUGGAGAGGAGACUGGAAUUUAUGGUGUAGCAGUGAAAUGCGUAGAGAUGCGGAGGAACACCGAUGGCGAAGGCAGCCCCCCUGGGUA